GAAGGCUACAGUAGAAUUCGCCUUCACUAUGCGCUAAAUCGUCAUUAUCAUCAUCUGUCAUUGUUAGUUAUACUGCAAGAUGAACAAUGGACAUUUCUCCCGUUUAUUUUUCUUUAACUUAAAUGUCCAAUGUUAGUGUACUCCAUCCUGCCCCGGUGAAGGUUCUAAUUCCAUCUCUCCACCUGGUUCUCUGCGUCAUGUUAGUGUACUCCAUCCUGCCCCGGUGAAGGUUCUAAUCCCAUCUCCACCUGGUUCUCUGCGUCAUGUUAGUGUACUCCAUCCUGCCCCGGUGAAGGUUCUAAUUCCAUCUCUCCACCUGGUUCUCUGCGUCAUGUUAGUGUGUUCCAUCCUGCCCCGGUGAAGGUUCUAAUCCCAUCUCCACCUGGUUCUCUGCGUCAUGUUAGUGUACUCCAUCCUGCCCCGGUGAAGGUUCUAAUUCCAUCUCUCCACCUGGUUCUCUGCGUCAUGUUAGUGUACUCCAUCCUGCCCCGGUGAAAGUUCUAAUCCCAUCUCUCCGCCUGGUCCUGUGCUUGUAGUAAUAACAGUGUACUCAAUCCUGUUUUCACAAAGGCCAUAGUUUCAUAUUCUAAGACACUCCCUCCUUUCACAUCAACUAUUUCCAAAGGCCAAAAAGUAGAUCAGUCGGGUUCCAAUGAGCGUUUCUUGAGAGUCAUGGUACAGAGGAAGGGUCACACUACCACCAGGGUCAUUAAACCACUGAAAAUGCGCAAAGCUACUACGAAAGCCUUGUCAAAUAUGUGAGCUCGGGCGCCGAAAUGUUCAAGAAUGUGACCCCUCUGGUCUGACUCAGCCCUGACACUACAAUUCCUGGGUCACUUAGGUCGGCCAUUUGUCAGCAUUUCCACGCCUAAUCUGACCUCAGACUUACUAGGUCAUUAAAACUACCAAUGGAAAUACUGACACAGCAACCUCUACGAAAGCCUUAUCAUAUGUGUGUGUGUGUGUGUGUGUGUGUGUGUGUGUGUGUGUGUGUGUGUGUGUGUGUGUGUGUGUGAAAUAAUUAGAAAUACGGUCCCUGGUCGUACUAACGUUAGAUAAUAUGUAUAAUAGCAGAUGUUUCUUGUAGUCUGAUUCCCAAAGUCUUGCCUAGCUUGUCAGACGCAUUCUUAAGCCUUGCCAACUCUCUCUCUCUC